GACGAACGCUGGCGGCGUGCUUAACACAUGCAAGUCGAACGGAAAGGCCCACCACCUUGGUGGUGGGUACUCGAGUGGCGAACGGGUGAGUAACACGUGGGUGAUCUGCCCCGCACUGUGGGAUAAGCCUGGGAAACUGGGUCUAAUACCACAUACGACCAUGGCGUAGGGGUCAUGGUGGAAAGCUUUAUUGCGGUGUGGGAUGAGCCCGCGGCCUAUCAGCUUGUUGGUGGGGUAAUGGCCUACCAAGGCGGCGACGGGUAGCCGGCCUGAGAGGGUGGACGGCCACAUUGGGACUGAGACACGGCCCAG
rnacentral:rRNA from 1 species